GGUGCCUUUAAAAUCAAAAUCAUGCUUUUAAGCUUCUUUAGAACUUUCAGUAGCCUUUUUAUGGCUAUUAUGCUGAUGCAAAAAUGAUGUGAAAUAGCUUGUUGCCUCACUGUGAAGUCAAAUAGGAUCCUAUCUACCCUGGAGCAUCCUGAGUGAAGACAGAAGAAAGCAGCACAAAGGGAAAUGUGACUUUCCAACCCAGCAGUUUGGAUAUUCAAACGAGCAGGGAGAGAACUGUUUGCUUGGUUUUGCUCCCAAAACAGUCUCUAUAAUUUACACAAGUACUGAAUAAAUGCAAAAGCCAUUUCUGGAGCCUGGGUCACACAACUAUCAAGAGAGUGAAACGUCUCAGUCCAUUUUGGGCUCCCUCCUGUAAAGCUGAGACUCUUUCGACACAGAUGGACCCAUGCAUCUUGUUCCAUCAGCAUCUUCAUAGCUACCACUUGAAAGGGAGUGAGUCCCAGGUGUGUGUCUUUAAAGCCCCCAAUUCACAUGCUGACCAGUUAAACAGAUUUGCUUAUUUUUCUUUAACAGCCUAAUUCAUCAAGGAAAAGCUGCAAGGGGGGUUCUGGUCUGCCAAGCUUGAUUGGGAAAUGGGUUAACCCUGCAGCCACACCACCCAGUCAAGGCAGAAGCCAAACUGGAUUGCCCCAGGUGAGAUGAGCCUAAUUAUUCCCUUUGCAAGGUGUUUACGGAGUUACACCUCUUCCUCUUAAAAGUGGUACCCAAAACAGGAGCAUCCUCCUUCCCUACCUCACCGCAGUGGUCUUUCUCCCAUAAGGCUGCUCUGAAGACGAUGCAGGCAACACGUUGGACGCCAUCCUGGUGUCUCUGAGAUGAAUGGAAAAGAACAUUGACUCACUUUGUGUGGGCACUGCGGAAGAAAGCGGUGGGUAUUUUUUCAGGGGGAGCUGAAAUAACAGGCUGGAUGGACCGGCGUAGUGAAAGACGGCCGAGACUGCUGUGCAAAAGUGGUUGGCGGUGUUGUGAUUUCUUGCUUUUUAAAAGAAACUAGGGCAGGAAAAAGAUUGUAGGUGGCUUGUUACUUCAUUGGGGGGUGGAGGAUGGCGGGGUGAGCAGAGCCGGUUUGGAGAGCUGAGCAAAUAGUGUCGUUGAGUAGUGUCAGUCACAGUUCUGAGCUGGGAACAUGGGGAGCUACAGUUUUAUUCUGACUUUUAACAGCAAUUGAAGGUUCAUGCCAGGCAAAUGACUUUACCAGUGCUGCUUUCUCCAGGACCCUUCUCCAUAGCUGCCCCUGCAGGGCAAAGCAACAUUUCCGACUCUGUUUCUCAAUGAAUGGUUUAGCUAGAAAACCCUAAGCUGUUUCAGACCUGCUCUUCCUCUCCCUUGAGAUCAUACAGCUGAGCUCGUGCUGCUGGAUCACCACACAUGGCAGCAGGCUGGUGGCCACCCUGAUGCUGGGGCUUUCCCCUCCCUUCUCAAUGG